GUAUACUGCAGUAAGCUACGCAACUGCAUGUAUUGCAAGCAGCUGGUGUUGGCACAAAUAUCCUCGACAAGCAAGAGUGACAAUGUAAACAGGUUGCAUGCGUGAACAUUACGUGGAAAGAUAAGAGCCCUUGCUCUAAAAUUCAACGUCGGAUGUGACCGUGGUCGGUGUUCCAAAAAGAUCCUCCAAUUCUAACUCAAAUUUCGCAAUUUCUGGGGGACACGUUUGAGUACAGCUUACUUUGGACGUUAGAAUAAAAUAUUUGUUCGCAUUACUCGAUAGAUUUUGUUUUCCGAUUGCUGUUACUACAACAAAACGAAUUUCCACUUGUUGCAAGAAGACGCAAUCCGGGCAGCACGUGUACGCAAAUUAGGCUGCCACGCGAGAGUAAACCCGUCGCAGACUCUUUGGCGUCAGUGAACUGGUUGGAAAUAUUUGCGGCGGUAUCGUGGCAUGAGUCAACGGACAGCAGAGACGAUUGCUAAUAAGGUACGAAAAUUGAAGAAAUGAAACAGAUAUCAAAAUGAUACGAAGAGAUUAUGAUGCUUCAAACGUUCAAAGAACUCGAGAAGAAAAUGAAGAAAACCAACAGGGAAACAAAGAUAGAAAGAAGGAUUCAUCACUGUCUAUAACUUUGGAGUCAAUUUUCAUUUGGUAGUCCUAAUUAUAAUUAUUAUAUGAAUAAUUCAUCAUUAGUAUUGAUAGAAACAAAGGUUAGAACUAAGUGAAAUAUACAUUUUCUUUAAUCUCCGUUACUUCUUUACAUCAGCAUUUUUUCAACUGCAAUUUGUAUACAAUGAUGAUUUAAUAUAAUUAAAUAUGUAAAAGUAUCUAAUUUUUAUUUUGUUCACUAGUAUUAUUAGAUAGUUUGUUUUGCGGAUUUUCUUCUUUUUUGUUCUAAAAUUAAUGAAUGAAAAGUUGUCUUUCUUUUUUUCGUUAUAUGAAAUUUGUAUUUAGACAAAAAUUUUGCCCAUCUCUGCUCACAGAUCGUUUCGCGAAGGACGACUAUGGUCGGUAGUAGCGAAAAGGUUAAAUGACGCAGAACCACAUUGAUGUCGAUAACCUUGUCGAACUUUCCGAUAUCCAUAAUGCGAACUGGUUGGCUACUGAACAUUACCGUUAUAAAUUGCUAAUAAUAUAUUAAUAUAACACAAUGGUAUUCAAAGGUAUUAGAUAUUCAUAGAACUUUGCAGUGUAUCUGUAACUCGCAGGAAAACUACAGUGGGUGUAGAAAAUAUUCGUACACCGAUCAAUUUCCAAAAACAUUGUGUAAAAUUGUAAUUUAUUAACUUAUUUUUUAUAAACAAUGACAUUCCACAUAUUCUCGAAAAUCUCUAG